ACUACGGGAGACAGCAGUGGGGAAUAUUGCACAAUGGGGGAAACCCUGAUGCAGCGACGCCGCGUGAGUGAAGAAGUAUUUCGGUAUGUAAAGCUCUAUCAGCAGGGAAGAAAAUGACGGAAACUGAUUAAGACGCCACGGCUAAGUAAGUGCCAGCAGCCGCGGGAAUACGUAGGGGGCAAGCGUUAUCAUGAUAUACUGGGUGUAAAGGGAGCGUAGACGGCAGCACAAGUUUGGAGCGAAAUGCCGGGGCUUAACCCAGGAACUUCUUUUGAAACUGUGAAGCUAGAGUGCAGGAGAGGUAAGUGGAAUUCCUAGUGUAGCGGUGAAAUGCGUAGAGAUUAGGAGGAACACCAGUAGCGAAGGCGGCUUACUGGACUUUAACUGACGUUGAGGCUCGAAAGCGUGGGGAGCAAACAGGAUUAGAUACCCUGGUAGU
rnacentral:rRNA from 1 species